rnacentral:lncRNA from 1 species
UUGGAUCUUGCUUUUAAUAGUAAAGAAGUACAGAUGAUGUUUACACAUGAGCAGCGUAAAAAAAAUGUUUGAGACAAAGUCGCGCACAGUCUCGAACUCUCGGUGCCCCCCUCCCGCCAUGUCACCACCAAGCAGGCCCACCCACCAGUCCUUUCAUAAUCCAUCGCUAGUGCUAGUGCAAGCGCAGAGCAUCGCAGUGAAAAGACAAAAUUUUCUUCUCAACGAAAAGAAAAGAUGGAGAUGAAAACUGAGUACUCGUACGCCUCGAGAAAUAUUUCGAGUGCUCAUACGUGCUACAGGACAGACUCCUGGCAUUUUCUUCUCAGUCUUUUGAGGCCGGUAAAAUCGAUGCGGUAAAAAUACAGAAAAGAAAUACUACGGGGUAGACUUUGCGUGUCCCUCUCUACCCCGCGUACCACCAACGUACGUGCAGGUCAAGCUGCAGUAGUUUCUUCUCUCUUUUUAGUGUAUUUUCUACUGCUAGAACCGGGCGAGCGCGCGGCAGAGCACCUGGGCGAGGAGGCUGGGGG